AGAGUUUGAUCCUGGCUCAGGACGAACGCUGGCGGCGUGCUUAACACAUGCAAGUCUACGAGAAUUGAGGUGCUUGCACUUCAAGGGCAGUGGCGAACGGGUGAGUAACGCGUAGAUAACCUACCUUUUAGAUUGGGAUAAUUCAUGGAAACGUGGACUAAUACCGAAUGUUGUCUUUUGAUCGCAUGAUCAUUAGAUUAAAGAUCACAGAAUCGCUAAAAGAUGGGUCUGCGUGACAUUAGUUUGUUGGCGAGGUAACGGCUCACCAAGGACUACGAUGUCUAGCUGGUCUGAGAGGAUGAUCAGCCACACUGGGACUGAGAUACGGCCCAGACUCCUACGGGAGGCAGCAGUGAGGAAUAUUGCACAAUGGGGGCAACCCUGAUGCAGCAACGCCGCGUGUACGAUGAAACUAUUCUGUAGCGUAAAGUACUGUUAAUCGUGACGAACAUAUAGGUUUACAGCUUAUAUUGACGGUAGCGAUAGAGGAAGCUCCGGCUAACUCCGUGCCAGCAGCCGCGGUAAUACGGGGGGAGCUAGCGUUGUCCGGAUUUAUUGGGCGUAAAGGGCAUGUAGGUGGUACAGACAGUCAGUUGUUAAAUAUUACGGCUUAACCGUGCUAUGCAAUUGAUACUUCUGUUCUUGAGUAUGUGAGGGGAUGAUGGAAUGCCUAGUGUAGCGGUGGAAUGCGUAGAUAUUAGGUAGAACACCAGUGGAGAAGUCGAUCAUCUGGCACAUUACUGACACUGAUAUGCGAAAGCGUGGGUAGCAAACAGGAUAGAUACCCUGGUAGUCCACGCCGUAAACGAUGGGCACUAGGUGUCUGGGGACUAGUCCCCCGGGUGCCGUAGCUAACGCGUUAAGUGCCCCGCCUGGGGAGUACGAUCGCAAGAUUGAAACUCAAAGGAAUUGACGGGGGCCCGCACAAGCGGUGGAGCAUGUGGUUUAAUUCGAUGCAACGCGAAGAACCUUACCUGGGCUUGAACAGCAAAUGCCAUUUGUAGAGAUACAAAGUUCCUAGCAAUAGGACGUUUGUAGAGGUGCUGCAUGGCUGUCGUCAGCUCGUGUCGUGAGAUGUUGGGUUAAGUCCCGCAACGAGCGCAACCCUUAUCAUUAGUUGCCAGCGAGUUAUGUCGGGGACUCUAAUGAGACUGCCUGGGUUAACCAGGAGGAAGGUGGGGAUGACGUCAAGUCCUCAUGGCCUUUAUGUCCAGGGCUACACACGUGCUACAAUGGGCGGUACAGAGUGAUGCUACACCGCGAGGUGAUGCUAAUCGCUAAAACCGUUCUCAGUUCGGAUCGCAGUCUGCAACUCGACUGCGUGAAGUUGGAAUCGCUAGUAAUCGCGGAUCAGCAUGCCGCGGUGAAUACGUUCCCGGGCCUUGUACACACCGCCCGUCACACCACGGAAGUUGAUAGUGCCCGAAGUAGCUGGUCUAACCCUUUUGGGAGGAACGCUACGAAGGCAAGAUUGAUAACUGGGGUGAAGUCGAAACAAGGUA
rnacentral:rRNA from 1 species